rnacentral:rRNA from 1 species
GUAACGGCGAGUGAAGCGGCAACAGCUCAAAUUUGAAAUCUGGCCCUCGCGGCCCGAGUUGUAAUUUGCAGAGGAUGCUUUUGGCGAGGUGCCUUCCGAGUUCCCUGGAACGGGACGCCUUAGAGGGUGAGAGCCCCGUACGGUUGGACACCGAGCCUCUGUAAAGCUCUUUCGACGAGUCGAGUAGUUUGGGAAUGCUGCUCUAAAUGGGAGGUAAAUUUCUUCUAAAGCUAAAUAUUGGCCAGAGACCGAUAGCGCACAAGUAGAGUGAUCGAAAGAUGAAAAGCACUUUGAAAAGAGGGUUAAACAGCACGUGAAAUUGUUGAAAGGGAAGCGUUUGCGACCAGACCUUCACCUGGCGGAUCAUCCGGCGUUCUCGCCGGUGCACUCCGCCAGACGAAGGCCAGCAUCGGUUCCUGGGGCGGGAUAAAAACGGCGGGAACGUAGCUCCCCAGGGAGUGUUAUAGCCCGCCGUAGAAUACCGCCACGGGGACCGAGGACCGCGCUACGGCAAGGAUGCUGGCGUAAUGGUCGCCAACGACCCGUCUUGAAACACGGACCAAGGAGUCGAACAUUUGUGCGAGUGUUUGGGUGUCAAACCCUCACGCGUAAUGAAAGUGAACGGAGGUGAGAGCCCUCGCGGGUGCAUCAUCGACCGAUCCUGAUGUCUUCGGAUGGAUUUGAGUAGGAGCAUAACUGUUCGGACCCGAAAGAUGGUGAACUAUGCGUGGAUAGGGUGAAGCCAGAGGAAACUCUGGUGGAGGCUCGCAGCGGUUCUGACGUGCAAAUCGAUCGUCAAAUCUGCGCAUGGGGGCGAAAGACUUAUCGAACCAUCUAGUAGCUGGUUACCGCCGAAGUUUCCCUCAGGAUAGCAGUGUCGUUCUUCAGUUUUAUGAGGUAAAGCGAAUGAUUAGGGACUCGGGGGCGCUUUUUAGCCUUCAUCCAUUCUCAAACUUUAAAUAUGUAAGAAGCCCUUGUUACUUUGUUGAACGUGGGCAUUCGAAUGUAUCGACAUUAGUGGGCCAUUUUUGGUAAGCAGAACUGGCGAUGCGGGAUGAACCGAACGCGAGGUUAAGGUGCCGGAGUGGACGCUCAUCAGACACCACAAAAGGUGUUAGCACAUUUAGACAAUAGGACGGUGGCCAUGGAAGUCGGAACCCGCUAAGGAUUGUGUAACAACUCACCUAUCGAAUGUGCUAGCCCUGAAAAUGGAUGGCGCUCAAGCGUCCCACCCAUACCUCGCCCUCAGGGUAGAAACGAUGCCCUGAGGAGUAGGCGGCCGUGGGGGUCAGUGACGAAGCCUAGGGCGGA